CCGGUCCGCUUCGGUGUGCACUGGCGGCCCAUACCUUCUUGUCGGGGAUGCGCUCUGGUAUUGAUUUAUCGGACGCAGAGUCGGCGCAGUUACUUUGAAAAAAUUAGAGUGUUCAAAGCAGGCUUUCGCUUGAAUACAUUAGCAUGGAAUAACAUGAUAGGACUCCGGUUCCAUUGUGUUGGUCUUCGGGACUGGAGUAAUGAUUAAGAGGGACAGUUGGGGGCAUUCGUAUUUCAUUGUCAGAGGUGAAAUUCUUGGAUUUAUGAAAGACGAACUUCUGCGAAAGCAUUUGCCAAGGAUGUUUUCAUUAAUCAAGAACGAAAGUUGGGGGCUCGAAGAUGAUUAGAUACCAUCGUAGUCUCAACCAUAAACGAUGCCGACUAGGGAUUGGCGGAUGUUACUUGAUGACUUCGCCAGCACCUUGUGAGAAAUCAAAGUCUUUGGGUUCCGGGGGGAGUAUGGUCGCAAGGCUGAAACUUAAAGGAAUUGACGGAAGGGCACCACCAUGGCGUGGAGCCUGCGGCUUAAUUUGACUCAACACGGGGAAACUUACCAGGUCCAGACACAAUAAUGAUUGACAGAUUGAUAGCUCUUUCUUGAUUC
rnacentral:rRNA from 1 species